ensembl:snRNA U6 U6 spliceosomal RNA
GUGCUCACUUUGACAGCACAUAUACCAGAAUUGGAACUACUCAGGUGUUAGCACAGCCCCUGCUCAAGGAUGACAUGCAAAUUCAUGAGGCAUUCUAUAUAUUU